rnacentral:lncRNA from 1 species
AUUACUUGGACAACUUAAAAAUACUUUUUUUUUUAAAAAAAAGCUCCUAAUACCAACCUUAGUCUAAGUUUAUAUAGUUAUUUUCUCCCACAAACAUCCACAUUUUAAGAAUUUGUAUUUUAUGCAGCUUAACCUUAUUUGACAACAGUUGUUUAUCAUGCCAAAAAUAAUAAUGAAUUAUUCCAUUUAUAUAUCCCCACUUGUUAGAAAAUUCAAAUUGAAAAUAAUUCUAUAAAAUUUUUCAUCAAACAAUCAUAGUGGUCUAAUAUGGGCAUCAUCAUCAUAAUUACCAUAAUUGACUAUCUAUAAUAGGAUACAAAUGUCAUUUAUUGAAACGGUUUGGUGCCACCUUGUCACAUCUUAUAGACAGGAUCAACAUCAUAAUCAUAAGGGAAAAAAAAAAAGAAAAAUUUGACUACAGCCAAAAUAUUUGUCACUGAUUAUUUGUUUCUGUAGCUAGAAAGGAAUUUUUUUUUUCACAAUUAAAAGAAGUAUUUGUAAAUAUGAAUACGGGUGAUGAAUGGUUUACAUAUCCAACUAGAGAAAUGAUUUUUAUCCCGCCUGGAUUUCUUACAUUUGAGUAUUGAGAAGAUAAGAAUUAAAAUUCUCUCCCAAUUUUUUCAAUGAUAUUUUAUAAAUUAGCAUGCAUGUUCGGUCCAAGAUUUUACAUUUCAAGUGAAUUAAUUAGGUGUUGUAAGAUUUUAAAAUCUCUAGUUAUCUGAAUCUUUAACGAAGCAGUUAUUAUGUAUUUAUAAAAAUAUUAUUAGCUUUUAAUGUUGUGUCCUUAUGUGUAUAUAUAUUGAAUAAAGUUUUUGCUUCUUAAGUAUAUAUAUUUAUGAAACCUCGACGUAUCACUUCAGUCUCUAUUAGUUGGUAUAAGAUUAUUGCUAUCAGAUAAAAAAUGUAUAAAUAAUUGAUUACACCCUAUUAUAAAAGUAUUAUAUUUAAUUAUGUCGUACGACCUUGAAAAGCUCAUUAGAACAUGAAUUAGUAUGAGGUUUAAAUUGGUAUUACGUAUACUAUGAUGACAGAGCUGAAAUUAUGGAAAGAGGUCAAUAGUUAUUGAUGUUGAUGGAACACUAACUAUCAAUUAUCGAUCGAAUUGUCUUAAUACAUAGCUAAACAAUUGAUUUAUUCUUAGAGAACAUCAUGAGAUUGAGAGCAUCCAUUUGCAAAAGGAUAAACAACAGUCACGGGCAAUAUUCUUAGCCGGUAUUGCAUGAGAAAAUUGAGGCUAAAAAUUGUAACAAUAAUUCACUUUUGAGUGAAAAUUAAGGGAUGGUGUAGGUCUUAUGAUGAAUCAAAAUGGUCACAUUGUUGGUCCGCAAAUUUUGUUCCCUCCUCUUCUCCUUAGUAAUUAUUAUCUCUAGAACUUGAGCUUCUUAAAGGUUGGACUAGGGGUGGGCACAAACCCACAACUCAUGGGUUUAACCAAAUCCAAACUAAAUAAAAUGGUUUGAGUUAGAUAAAUAAUGAAAUGGGUUAAAUUUGAGUUUUUAUGCAAAAAAUCAUUUCAUAAUAGUUUGGGUAUGCUUUACCCAUGGGUCAUGGACAAAUUUAAUGUGACAUGUUAGUGAAAAAUAAAUUAAACAAAAAGAUUGAGAUGAAAUUUUAUACCAGUGUUUUUGCCAUGUAUCUAGUGAUAUAUAAAAUAAUCUAACCACUUUUAAAGAAAAAGAAAUUUCCUUUGACAUGAAAAAUUUUAGAUAGACCAAAAUUUAGAGUUUAAGUCUUUAUUAUUGUUGGGUGGUCAUUAAUAUUGUUUCAAAACUAAUGAUUUAUAAAUUAAUAAUCACUAUUAUUAUAAUUUUUUACA